CUACGUAGGGGGCGAGCGUUGUCCGGAAUGAUUGGGCGUAAAGGGCGCGUAGGCGGCCCGGUAAGUCUGGAGUGAAAGUCCUGUUUUUAAGAUGGGAAUUGCUUUGGAUACUGUCGGGCUUGAGUGCAGGAGAGGUAAGUGGAAUUCCCAGUGUAGCGGUGAAAUGCGUAGAGAUUGGGAGGAACACCAGUGGCGAAGGCGACUUACUGGACUGUAACUGACGCUGAGGCGCGAAAGUGUGGGGAGCAAACAGGAUUAGAUACCCUGGUAGUCCACACUGUAAACGAUGAAUGCUAGGUGUAGGGGGUAUCGACCCCUUCUGUGCCGCAAUCAACACAAUAAGCAUUCCGCCUGGGGAGUACGGCCGCAAGGUUGAAACUCAAAUGAAUUGACGGGG
rnacentral:rRNA from 1 species